rnacentral:tRNA from 1 species
AAGCAUUUAGCUCAAAUGGUUGAGCUUUAGAUCGAUAAUCUGAUGGAUGCAGGUUCAAGUCCUGUGAUGCUUA